GACGAACGCUGGCGGCGUGCUUAACACAUGCAAGUCGAACGGAAAGGCCCUGCUUUUGUGGGGUGCUCGAGUGGCGAACGGGUGAGUAACACGUGAGUAACCUGCCCUUGACUUUGGGAUAACUUCAGGAAACUGGGGCUAAUACCGGAUAGGAGCUCCUGCUGCAUGGUGGGGGUUGGAAAGUUUCGGCGGUUGGGGAUGGACUCGCGGCGUAUCAGCUUGUUGGUGGGGUAGUGGCUUACCAAGGCUUUGACGGGUAGCCGGCCUGAGAGGGUGACCGGCCACAUUGGGACUGGGAUACGGCCCAGACUCCUACGGGAGGCAGCAGUGGGGAAUAUUGCACAAUGGGCGGAAGCCUGAUGCAGCAACGCCGCGUGCGGGAUGACGGCCUUCGGGUUGUAAACCGCUUUCGCCUGUGGCGAAGCGUGAGUGACGGUAAUGGGUAAAGAAGCACCGGCUAACUACGUG
rnacentral:rRNA from 1 species